rnacentral:rRNA from 1 species
CACGUAGGGGGCAAGCGUUGUCCGGAUUUAUUGGGCGUAAAGAGCUCGUAGGCGGCUCAGUAAGUCGGGUGUGAAACCUCCAGGCUCAACCUGGAGACGCCACCCGAUACUGCUGUGGCUUGAGUCCGGUAGGGGAGCGUGGAAUUCCUGGUGUAGCGGUGAAAUGCGCAGAUAUCAGGAGGAACACCAGCGGCGAAGGCGGCGCUCUGGGCCGGAACUGACGCUGAGACGCGAAAGCGUGGGGAGCGAACAGG